rnacentral:lncRNA from 1 species
AAUUUGUUGUGGCUAACGUUAGCUUGGCGGCUAACGUUAGCUAGGCUAGAGGUUGCUAGAUGUUCCUAUGUAACGUUAUACGCCCAUCCAUCCAACUGGACCAUCCACCCUACUUCGGUUUUUGCCUUGAGUAACCUUCUGUCUUAUGUAACCAUACCAAAGGCUGCAAUCCACUCCCAGUUAAGCGGGGUCCGUUCAGGCCUCCGUCAGCUCCACAAUGCCUUGGGGGAUGUGAUGGACAUCCAGAACUCCCUGCCCGGUAGAAGUCAGCAAUGACUGGAGGCAAAACAUUAACACCAUUGAGAACCUGAAGUACGUAAAAUAUGCUGGGACGCAACAUCAGCGGAGGCUCCUCAGAAGAGGAAGACAAUACUGCUUGGUGACCUACAGAUUAUUUUUGGAGAUGGUUAUCGGUGCGGAGAAGCUAGGCACAAGACACUGAAUUCCCUGAAAACAUUUCCAGCGCCUACUUCAGUCCAAGUCAAGCACUGGUCUAACUGAAUGUGGAUGUUGUGUUGGCUGAAUGUUCCAGGCACGCUCCAGAAUGUUCUUCUGCUGGUGAACCUUGUCUUGUGUUGGGCAAUGGCAGCUGGUCUGGCAGAAGUUCAUGAGCUCCAUGACCUUGGACUCAUAGACUUUGGCUCUUGCCAGCCCCAUGCAGUCAACCCCAUGCAGUCUUUUCCUCUUCCGAGUCAGAUGAUGUUGAGCUUGAGUUUUUUCCCGGAUGAAAGAUUUCAUCCAAUGGGUCUACAGAAUCUGUACUUCUAAAGCAGAAGCACCAGGAUUAGUCUGUAGGACAUACACUAGUCAGUGAUUAGGCAAUAUUUUACUACUUUGUCCCCAUGAAUACACACUCCGACAAGCUACUAUCUCCACCCUUCACCCUUGUGUCAAUAGAUCAUGCAUACUAACCUUCACACACAGUACCCACUUCCAACAGACACCAGUCACCCACACCAUCCCCUCUUCACGAAGAACUAUGCUUUUCUCCGAUUUACACUUCAAGCUUUGCAUAAACAAUCAAUUAAUGCUGCAAUAUGUAACUUUUUGGGUGACUCACCAAAUUCACAUAAUUUGUUUUAACUAGGCAAGUCAGUUAAGAACAAAAUCAAAUUUGUAAUGAUGGCCAACAGUGGGUUAACUGCCUUGUUCAGGGGCAGAACGACAGAUUUCUAUCUUGUCAGCUUGGGGAUUCGAUCCAGCAACCUAUCAAUUACUGGCCCAAUUCUCUAACCACUAGGCUACCUGCCACCCCGAAAAUGUGAGUUAUAGAUCUGUCAUUCUCAUUGAAAGCAAGUCUAACAAGCGGUAGAUAAACUCUGCAGAAAAAGAAACGUCCUCUCACUGUCAACUGCGUUUAUUUUCAGCAAACUUAACAUGUGUAAAUAUUUGUAAGGACAUAACAAGAUUCAACAACUGAGACGUAAACUGAACAAGUUCCACAGACAUGUGACUAACAGAAAUUGAAUAAUGCAUUUCCACCAGAGCUGUUGCCAGAGAAUUUAAUGUUCAUUUCUCUACCAUAAGUCACCUCCAACGUCGUUUUAGACAAUUUGUCAGUAUGUCCAACUGGCCUCACAACCGCAGACCACGUAUAACCAAGGCAGCCCAGGACUUCCACAUCCGGCUUCUUCACCUGUGGGAUCAUCUGACCAGCCACCCAGACAGCUGAUGAGUCUGAAGAGUAUUUCUGUCUGUAAUAAAGCGCAUUUGUGGGGAAAAAUGUAUUCUGUUUGCCUGGGCAAUGUCCCCCUUUGAAAUCUCAAGAUUAUGGCUUAAUGAAUUUAUUUCAAUUGACUGAUUUCGUUAUAUAAACUGUAACUCGUUGAAAUUGUUGCGUUAGCUUGCAUUAGCUUGCA